UAAGGUUAAGACUGAAGCGAAUAGGGAC
rnacentral:piRNA from 1 species